AAUCAACGCUGGCGGCGUGCCUCAGACAUGCAAGUCGAACGAUUAAAGCUCUCUUCGGAGAGUGUAUAGAGUGGCGCACGGGUGAGUAACACGUAAGUAAUCUACCUUUGAGUGGGGAAUAACAUCGGGAAACCGAUGCUAAUACCGCAUAAUGCAGCGGCAUCGCAAGAUGACAGUUGUUAAAGAUUUAUCGCUUGAAGAGGAGCUUGCGGCAGAUUAGCUAGUUGGUAAGGUAAUGGCUUACCAAGGCUACGAUCUGUAACCGGUCUAAGAGGACGGUCGGUCACACUGACACUGAAUAACGGGUCAGACCCCUACGGGAGGCAGCAGUCGGGAAUUUUGGGCAAUGGGCGAAAGCCUGACCCAGCAACGCCGCGUGAAGGAUGAAGUAUUUCGGUAUGUAAACUUCG
rnacentral:rRNA from 1 species